CUUGCUGUGUGUGCGCGAAGCUGUUCAUUUCCUUGCUGUAUAGUGGAGCAGAGGCGAUCUCAGCUUUCCGGUGUCUACUCAAGAGAAUUCAAACAGGCGCUCAGACAGAUACCUGCGCACCCGCGUUCACAGCAGCAUUACCCACAACAGCCAGAGGCUGGACACUACCAAGGGUCUGUUAUGGUUGAAGAGAUAAACACAGUGUGUAUACAGUGGGGUGUUAUUCAGCCACGGAAAGGAAAGAAGCUCUGAGUCACACCGCAACAUGCCCUGGAAACUGUGAUCCAAUCAUAAAAUAUGAUAACAUAUUGUGAUUCCAUUUAUGUGAAAU
rnacentral:lncRNA from 10 species